UACGGAGGGUGCGAGCGUUGUCCGGAAUCAUUGGGCGUAAAGGGCGCGUAGGUGGCCUGGUCAGUUCGUGGUGAAAGCGCGGGGCUCAACCCCGCGUCGGCCAUGAAUACUGCUAGGCUUGAGCACUGUAGAGGCAGGCGGAAUUCCGGGUGUAGCGGUGGAAUGCGUAGAGAUCCGGAGGAACACCAGUGGCGAAGGCGACACGCUGGGCCGUACCUGACACUGAUGCGCGACAGCAUGGGGAGCAAACAGG
rnacentral:rRNA from 1 species